rnacentral:rRNA from 1 species
UACGGAGGGGACUAGCGUUGUUCGGAAUUACUGGGCGUAAAGCGCACGUAGGCGGCUUGUUAAGUCAGGGGUGAAAUCCUGGAGCUCAACUCCAGAACUGCCUUCGAUACUGGGAGUCUCGAGUCCGGGAGAGGUGAGUGGAACUGCGAGUGUAGAGGUGAAAUUCGUAGAUAUUCGCAAGAACACCAGUGGCGAAGGCGGCUCACUGGCCCGGUACUGACGCUGAGGUGCGAAAGCGUGGGGAGCAAACAGG